AUAAGAAUCAUCUGGGCACCUUAUUAAAAUGCAGAUACUGAUUCAGUUAGGUCUGGAAUAUGGCUUAAGGUUCUGAAUUUCUGACAAGUUGCCAGAUGAUGCUAAU
rnacentral:pre_miRNA from 1 species